GAUGAACGCUGGCGGCGUGCCUAACACAUGCAAGUCGAGCGGAAGGACAAUGAGAUUGUUCCCCUGCCGGUAGCGGGGGACGGGUGAGUAACACGUACAUCACCUACCUCUAUGACUUGGGUGACAACGGGAAGCAGGAGAUAAUAACAGAUCAUAUAUUCUACCGCAGAGAGCAAUAGAGAAAGAGGGCUUUGCCGUCACAUAUAGAUGGAUCCGCGCCGCAUUAGCUAGUUGGUAAGGUAACGGCCAACCAAGGCGACGAUGCGUAGCUGAUCUGAGAGGAUGAUCAGCCACACUGGAACUGAGACACGGUCCAGACUCCUACGGGAGGCAGCAGUGGGGAAUAUUGCACAAUGGGCGCAAGCCUGACCCAGCCAUGCCGCGUGGGUGAAGAAGGUCUUCGGAUCGUAAAGCUCUUUUGUUGGGAAAGAACAAAAGUGUGAGUAACCAUCCCCGUUUUGACGGUACCUAAUGAAUAAGCACCGGCUAACUACGUG
rnacentral:rRNA from 1 species